CACUAUCGUUAACUGAAUACAUAGGUUAACGAGGCGAACCGGGGGAACUGAAACAUCUAAGUACCCCGAGGAAAAGAAAUCAACCGAGAUUCCCCCAGUAGCGGCGAGCGAACGGGGAGCAGCCCAGAGUCUGAAUCAGCUUGUGUGUUAGUGGAACGGUCUGGAAAGUCCGACGGUACAGGGUGAUAGUCCCGUACACCAAAAUGCACAGGCUGUGAACUCGAAGAGUAGGGCGGGACACGUGGUAUCCUGUCUGAAUAUGGGGGGACCAUCCUCCAAGGCUAAAUACUCCUGACUGACCGAUAGUGAACCAGUACCGUGAGGGAAAGGCGAAAAGAACCCCGGCGAGGGGAGUGAAAAAGAACCUGAAACCGUGUACGUACAAGCAGUGGGAGCACCUUCGGGUGUGACUGCGUACCUUUUGUAUAAUGGGUCAGCGACUUAUAUUCUGUAGCAAGGUUAACCGUAUAGGGGAGCCGCAGGGAAACCGAGUCUUAACUGGGCGUUAAGUUGCAGGGUAUAGACCCGAAACCCGGUGAUCUAGCCAUGGGCAGGUUGAAGGUUGGGUAACACUAACUGGAGGACCGAACCGACUAAUGUUGAAAAAUUAGCGGAUGACUUGUGGCUGGGGGUGAAAGGCCAAUCAAACCGGGAGAUAGCUGGUUCUCCCCGAAAGCUAUUUAGGUAGCGCCUCGUGAACUCAUCUUCGGGGGUAGAGCACUGUUUCGGCUAGGGGGUCAUCCCGACUUACCAACCCGAUGCAAACUACGAAUACCGAAGAAUGUUAUCACGGGAGACACACGGCGGGUGCUAACGUCCGUCGUGAAGAGGGAAACAACCCAGACCGCCAGCUAAGGUCCCAAAGUCAUGGUUAAGUGGGAAACGAUGUGGGAAGGCACAGACAGCCAGGAUGUUGGCUUAGAAGCAGCCAUCAUUUAAAGAAAGCGUAAUAGCUCACUGGUCGAGUCGGCCUGCGCGGAAGAUGUAACGGGGCUAAACCAUGCACCGAAGCUGCGGCAGCGACACUAUGUGUUGUUGGGUAGGGGAGCGUUCUGUAAGCCUGCGAAGGUGUGCUGUGAGGCAUGCUGGAGGUAUCAGAAGUGCGAAUGCUGACAUAAGUAACGAUAAAGCGGGUGAAAAGCCCGCUCGCCGGAAGACCAAGGGUUCCUGUCCAACGUUAAUCGGGGCAGGGUGAGUCGACCCCUAAGGCGAGGCCGAAAGGCGUAGUCGAUGGGAAACAGGUUAAUAUUCCUGUACUUGGUGUUACUGCGAAGGGGGGACGGAGAAGGCUAUGUUAGCCGGGCGACGGUUGUCCCGGUUUAAGCAUGUAGGCUGAUUGUCCAGGCAAAUCCGGAUAAUCAAGGCUGAGGUGUGAUGACGAGGCACUACGGUGCUGAAGUAACAAAUGCCCUGCUUCCAGGAAAAGCCUCUAAGCAUCAGGUAACAUUAAAUCGUACCCCAAACCGACACAGGUGGUCAGGUAGAGAAUACCAAGGCGCUUGAGAGAACUCGGGUGAAGGAACUAGGCAAAAUGGUGCCGUAACUUCGGGAGAAGGCACGCUGGUGUGUAGGUGAAGUCCCUGCGGAUGGAGCUGAGACCAGUCGAAGAUACCAGCUGGCUGCAACUGUUUAUUAAAAACACAGCACUGUGCAAACACGAAAGUGGACGUAUACGGUGUGACGCCUGCCCGGUGCCGGAAGGUUAAUUGAUGGGGUUAUCCGUAAGGAGAAGCUCUUGAUCGAAGCCCCGGUAAACGGCGGCCGUAACUAUAACGGUCCUAAGGUAGCGAAAUUCCUUGUCGGGUAAGUUCCGACCUGCACGAAUGGCGUAAUGAUGGCCAGGCUGUCUCCACCCGAGACUCAGUGAAAUUGAACUCGCUGUGAAGAUGCAGUGUACCCGCGGCAAGACGGAAAGACCCCGUGAACCUUUACUAUAGCUUGACACUGAACAUUGAGCCUUGAUGUGUAGGAUAGGUGGGAGGCUUUGAAGCGUGGACGCCAGUCUGCGUGGAGCCAACCUUGAAAUACCACCCUUUAAUGUUUGAUGUUCUAACGUUGGCCCCU
rnacentral:rRNA from 3 species